rnacentral:rRNA from 1 species
UACGUAGGCAGCGAGCGUUGUUCGGAGUUACUGGGCGUAAAGGGUGUGUAGGCGGUUGUUUAAGUUUGGUGUGAAAUCUCCCGGCUCAACUGGGAGGGUGCGCCGAAUACUGAAUGACUUCGAGUGCGGGAGAGGAAAGUGGAAUUCCUGGUGUAGCGGUGGAAUGCGCAGAUAUCAGGAGGAACACCUAUAGCGAAGGCAGCUUGCUGGGACGUUACUGACGCUAAGGCGCGAAAGCGUGGGGAGCAAACAGG